UUUGGUUUACUAAUAAAUAGUUUUAUAAUGGAAAAAAAGGGGGAUAAUAUUGUUAUUAUUAUUAUUAUUUCUUUUAUUAUUUUUUUGUUUUACUAAAAACAGGCUGCUUCCAAAUUUUUGUUUUCUUCCAUAUUUGUUUCCCUUAUUCCUCAAAUCCAUGCCGUCAUUCUCAUUUCCUCUUAAUUGAUUCUUUUUCUUUUUCUUUCUUUUUCCUUUUAUCCGUUCCUCGCCUUUUAAUUUUUCUUUAAUCAUUUG
rnacentral:lncRNA from 1 species